rnacentral:rRNA from 2 species
GAUGAACGCUGGCGGCGCGCCUAACACAUGCAAGUCGAACGAUUAAAGCACCUUCGGGUGUGUAUAAAGUGGCGAACGGCUGAGUAACACGUGGGCAACCUGCCCCUCUCAUUGGGAUAGCCACGGGAAACCGUGGAUAAUACCGAAUACUUCGGGAUUUCCGCAUGGAAGGCUCGAGAAAGCUCCGGCGGAGAGGGAUGGGCCCGCGGCCUGUUAGCUUGUUGGUGGGGUAACGGCCUACCAAGGCAAUGAUGGGUAGCUGGGUUGAGAGACCGACCAGCCAGAUUGGGACUGAGACACGGCCCAGACUCCUACGGGAGGCAGCAGUGGGGAAUCUUGCACAAUGGGCGAAAGCCUGAUGCAGCGACGCCGCGUGCGGGAUGAAGGCCUUCGGGUUGUAAACCGCUUUCAGCAGGGACGAGGCGAAA